AGUAAUACAUCGGAACGUGUCCUGGAGUGGGGGAUAGCCCGGCGAAAGCCGGAUUAAUACCGCAUACGCUCUGAGGAGGAAAGCGGGGGAUCUUUCGGGACCUCGCGCUGCAGGGGCGGCCGAUGGCAGAUUAGCUAGUUGGUGGGGUAAAGGCCUACCAAGGCGACGAUCUGUAGCUGGUCUGAGAGGACGACCAGCCACACUGGGACUGAGACACGGCCCAGACUCCUACGGGAGGCAGCAGUGGGGAAUUUUGGACAAUGGGCGCAAGCCUGAUCCAGCAAUGCCGCGUGUGUGAAGAAGGCCUUCGGGUUGUAAAGCACUUUUGUCCGGAAGGAAAGCUUCUGGGUUAAUACCCCGGGAGGAUGACGGUACCGGAAGAAUAAGCACCGGCUAACUACGUGCCAGCAGCCGCGGUAAUACGUAGGGUGCAAGCGUUAAUCGGAAUUACUGGGCGUAAAGCGUGCGCAGGCGGUUCGCUAAGACAGAUGUGAAAUCCCCGGGCUUAACCUGGGAACUGCAUUUGUGACUGGCGGGCUAGAGUAUGGCAGAGGGGGGUAGAAUUCCACGUGUAGCAGUGAAAUGCGUAGAGAUGUGGAGGAAUACCGAUGGCGAAGGCAGCCCCCUGGGCCAAUACUGACGCUCAUGCACGAAAGCGUGGGGAGCAAACAGGAUUAGAUACCCUGGUAGUCCACGCCCUAAACGAUGUCAACUAGUUGUCGGGUCUUCAUUGACUUGGUAACGUAGCUAACGCGUGAAGUUGACCGCCUGGGGAGUACGGUCG
rnacentral:rRNA from 1 species